UACGUAGGGGGCUAGCGUUGUCCGGAUUUAUUGGGCGUAAAGAGCGUGUAGGCGGCCAGGUAGGUCUGGUGUGAAAACUCGAGGCUUAACCUUGAGAUGUCAUCGGAAACUAUUUGGCUAGAGUCCGGAAGAGGAAAGUGGAAUUCCUGGUGUAGCGGUGAAAUGCGCAGAUAUCAGGAAGAACACCAAUGGCGAAAGCAGCUUUCUGGGACGGUACUGACGCUGAGACGCGAAAGCGUGGGGAGCGAACAGG
rnacentral:rRNA from 1 species